rnacentral:ncRNA from 1 species
UCAAAUGAAUAGUGUCUUAGCUUAGGGAAAAGGGUGGAAAGCCCUUACUGUAGUCGCAGCUGUAACCGGCGAUGAGGAAUGGAAUAUACCACUGUCUAAUGUACCAAAGUUAAAUGCUGGAUGGGAAGGUCUGUUCUAAAGAUGACCCGGAAGUCAGAAAACCUGGUAAGACGUUCUUCAAUUU